rnacentral:sRNA from 1 species
ACAGAAACCUAGAAUAACUGUUCUCUGAGAGACUUCACCUAUCAUCUGAUGAAAACAGAUGCAGAGACCAACAGCCAAAUAUUAGGCAGAGCUUUGGCAAUCUUAUGGAAGAGUGAGGAAGAAUGAUUGGAGAAGCCAGAGGGAUCAAGGAAACCACAAGAAAAACUACAGAAUCAACUAGCCUGGGUCCAUAGAGGCUGACAGAGACUGAACUAUCAACCAUGCAUCUUCUGGACCUAGGAUUUAGCAAGCCAUAAACCAGGGUGAAAGAUCUCAGGAAGGGAGAGCUAAACAUCGAGUAGUGGAGGAAGUUACACUUAGAAGAUCAUGCUGACCAUGUUCCCCUUCAUCUGCAUCCCUGGAAGCAUCAUCACAUCUGCCCUUGCUACAUCGCCUCACCAGAUCUUCAACUAUACCUGGGUGAUUCUUAAUGGCACCGGAGAUGUGGUGUCUGACAACUCCACCACCGCUGCACGAAUUCCCUGCCCCAUUCUUGAGUUCCUGCAGUUCUGGGAAAGAGGUACCUCCACUCGUACAAAGAGAGAACCCAUCACUGCCGGGACUCUUGCAAUACUCCUAGGCCUGUCAGCUGUGGGGACAGGAACUGGGGUUGCCU